rnacentral:rRNA from 1 species
AUUGAACGCUGGCGGCAUGCCUUACACAUGCAAGUCGAACGGUAACAGGUCUUCGGAUGCUGACGAGUGGCGAACGGGUGAGUAAUACAUCGGAACGUGCCCGAGAGUGGGGGAUAACGAGGCGAAAGCUUUGCUAAUACCGCAUACGAUCUCAGGAUGAAAGCAGGGGACCGCAAGGCCUUGCGCUCACGGAGCGGCCGAUGGCAGAUUAGGUAGUUGGUGGGAUAAAAGCUUACCAAGCCGACGAUCUGUAGCUGGUCUGAGAGGACGACCAGCCACACGGGGACUGAGACACGGCCCAGACUCCUACGGGAGGCAGCAGUGGGGAAUUUUGGACAAUGGGCGAAAGCCUGAUCCAGCCAUGCCGCGUGCAGGAUGAAGGCCUUCGGGUUGUAAACUGCUUUUGUACGGAACGAAACGGCUCUGGUUAAUACCCGGGGCUAAUGACGGUACCGUAAGAAUAAGCACCGGCUAACUACGUGCCAGCCGCCGCGGUAAAAC